AGGCUCGUAAUGAGCAUAACAAAAAUUUAGAAUUACUAUGGCAUAAGAAAUCGAGAAAGAUAAAGAUUAAAGAGAGAGGGCAGUAUUUAUUAUUCUCAAAAAUGCUCACGACAGUACACAUCAGGCCCUAGCCUUGUUCAUAAAUCAUACAAGCAUCACGCUAAUUCUUCUCACUCUAAAGAACCACAGAGACAAAUUGUGGGCCUGCCCACAUUAAAUUACAUCAACAACUGGAUAAGAUUCAGAAUCAUAAAGGGCCUGUUGUUUCUCAAACUUUGACUUCUUACAGUUGUUCCUGACGGCCGUCAGCUCAUAUGGUGAAACGUUAGUGCCGAGCCACUGGUCCACAGUGAAAAGCUGCUGGUUGCAUUGUUUGUGUGCUCCAGUAACGGUAACUUCGACGUAGUUACAGUACCAUCCGGCAUGUGGGCCUGAUCCAUCAGAAGUCAGAUUCAUUUUGCAGAUCGGCCGAGUCAAACAUGGACCACGUCCACUGAAGAUAUCCAAGUUUCCUCUUUCGAAAUAGUUGUAACCUGGGCCCAUAAGCCCACCCCAUGCCUCUAAGUUCUUGAUUCUAAUUCCAUAGCC
rnacentral:lncRNA from 1 species